AAGCAGCCACCUUUUAAAAAGCGUUAAAGCUUUAUUGUUUACCAAAAAAAUACCACAAACUUAACUUAACCCUCUACUAAUACUGAAUGACUUCAUAUCUUUAUGAAGAACCUUAUGUUAGAACUAGUAACAAGAAGAAGCCCUUCUCCAAAAUGUAAGCAUGAACCAAAAUGAACAAAUCAUUGGUGCUUAAAAUUUUUUAACUACAAGUAACAACUCAUCAAGAAAAUCUUACUACCCAACAUGUCAACCUUACACAAGUACAUUUAUGGAAAGAGUAAAAGAAUGGGAAGGAACUCGGCAAAUAACUAACCCCGCCUGUUUACCAAAAACAUCGCCUCCUGCUACUUUAUAGGAGGUCCAGCCUGCCCAGUGAUAAAAUUAAACGGCCGCGGUACCCUAACCGUGCAAAGGUAGCGCAAUCACUUGUUCUUUAAAUGAGGACUAGUAUGAACGGCAUCACGAGGGUUACACUGUCUCCCCGCUCUACUCAGUGAAACUGAUCUCCCCGUGAAGAAGCGGGGAUAAAAAUAUAAGACGAGAAGACCCCAUGGAGCUUAAAACUCAGUCUUACCUGCCACCUAAAAAACCUAGAAACCACGCAGUACUAAUGACUAGUUUUCGGUUGGGGUGACCGCGGAGAAAAACAAAUCCUCCACGACGAAGGGACCUCCUCACCUAAUCCAAGAGUUACACCUCUAAGAAUCAACACAUUGACCAACUGAUCCAAUUUUUUGAUCAACGGACCAAGUUACCCUGGGGAUAACAGCGCAAUCCAUUUCAAGAGCUCAUAUCGACAAAUGGGUUUACGACCUCGAUGUUGGAUCAGGGUAUCCAAGUGGCGCAGCCGCUACUAACGGUUC
rnacentral:rRNA from 1 species